UGAGAUGUUUGCAAGCUGACUUAUUGAUGC
rnacentral:piRNA from 1 species